AUGUUAAUUAUACCUUUGUUGCUUUGGCGAGCCGCUCCGGCCACCGGCUUCCAGCUGGUGAGUGCUCGCCAGAGGACCCUAAACUCUGUUUAUACACGUCGUCUGAGUAUACUAUAUAAUAGUUAAAACUUUCAACAACGGAUCUCUUGGUUCUGGCAUCGAUGAAGAACGCAGCGAAAUGCGAUAAGUAAUGUGAAUUGCAGAAUUCAGUGAAUCAUCGAAUCUUUGAACGCACAUUGCGCCCUGUGGUAUUCCGCAGGGCAUGCCUGUUCGAGCGUCAGUACAACACUCAAGCCUAGCUUGGUCUUGGGCCUCGCCGGAGACGGCGGGCCUUAAAAUCAGUGGCGGCGCCUCUCGGGCCCUAAGCGUAGUAAUACUCCUCGCUACAGGGACCCGGUGGACGCUGGCCAGCAACCCCCAACUUUCUAAGUUUGACCUCGGAUCAGGUAGGGAUACCCGCUGAACUUAAGCAUAUCAAUAAGCGGAGGA
rnacentral:rRNA from 1 species